rnacentral:rRNA from 1 species
GACGAACGCUGGCGGCGUGCUUAACACAUGCAAGUCGAACGGAAAGGCCUGCUUUCCCUUGUGGAUUGCGGGUACUCGAGUGGCGAACGGGUGAGUAACACGUGAGUGAUCUGCCCCCAACUUGGGUAUAAGCCUGGGAAACUGGGUCUAAUUCCCGAUAGGACUGCAGGGUGGUGCCUGUGGUGGAAAACGAUUUUCUAGUGGUUGGGGAUGAGCUCGCGGCCUAUCAGCUUGUUGGUGGGGUAAUGGCCUACCAAGGCGGCGACGGGUAGCCGGCCUGAGAGGGUGGACGGCGACAUUGGGACUGAGAUACGGCCCAGGCUCCUACGGGAGGCAGCAGUGGGGAAUAUUGCACGAUGGGCGGAAGCCUGAUGCAGCGGCGCCGCGUGGGGGAUGACGGCCUUCGGGUUGUAAACUCCUUUCGACCGCGAGGAAGCCACCUGGUUGGAAGGGUGGUGACGGUAGUGGUAGAAGAAGCACCGGCUAACUACGUG